rnacentral:tRNA from 2 species
GGCUCGUUGGUCAAGUGGUCAAGACACUGGUUUUUCAUACCAGUAACACAAGUUCGAUUCUUGUACGGGCUA